CUAGCUUUGUCAGAAUCCUUUCUUUAACCAGGGUUCUAGUUAUGUUACCCAUCUUGACAAAGGACCAUCAUUGCCUCUCUUCAAACUUCAUAGCAGCCCUCAUCAUUAAUCUGGACACAGGUCAAACCUGUCCAGGGACCCUCAGCCAGUUCUGGUAAAAGAAGAACAAUGCAGCAAGAGAAUUGAGGAUAUUUUUGAGAAUGGAUUCAACUUCUGGAUAUCACAAACCAAAUUGUGGCACAGAAAGACAAUUCAUAAAUGUCUUCUUCAAAAUGGGCCAAUUAGGCCGAAGUUGAGAAUUUGGGGAAAAGUACAAAAUUGAGAUGAUCAAGAACUAAUUCUAGCUACAUUGCUGAAUGGAAAAACUAAGUAACAUGAAGCAGAUAACCUAUCUGUUGAUAACUGAGACUAAGAAAAUACAAACUAUUGAAAAAGUGAUGUGAUAUGACUUUAACUUAGCAUGAAAUGAAGAGACACCAGAGUAUAUACAAUAAGGAUUAUCUACUAUGACAAAGGAGUAGAUUACAGCCACCUCUGACAAGGCAACCACAAACAAAUCAGUUCAACCUAAGCACUUCAAGGACAGAUUCCUCUACUCUGGAGGUGGGAAAGUGAGUUUUCAAGACCUAUGCCAUCUAAAUACCUAAUUAUGGACUCUGCUGAGGAAGAGACUUCCAGAAUCACUACUAUAUGAACAGGCAACAGACUUUCACAGACUUUUUCACUAGCUCCUCUUCGUGGUCUUUGGCAAGUGACUUUUCUCAGACUCCUCAACCAUUGUCUUACAACCUUCCUAAAACAAUUCCCAGUUUCUCCCACCACUUUGUAAAGUUUAA
rnacentral:lncRNA from 1 species